rnacentral:lncRNA from 1 species
UGCUGAUGUACGAUGUCAUACUCCGAUCGUGGUAUGUGUAAUAGAGUAUCGUAAAUUUCUCUAAACUCGACGAAUUUAUCGCGUCGCAUGUCAAACCAACAAAAUUUUUUUUCUAUACACACAUUUUCUAUACAUUUACAAAGUAUAAUAUAGUAACAAAGUAGCAUUACACAUGAUGUUCUAAAUGUUCCAGAACAGAAAAUGGAGCAACCUGUUGGCGUUCAACUUGGGCAUUUUAAUAAUCCUUUGUACCAAGGGAGGGGUGAGAAAUAUGAUAUUGUGCAUCCGGGAUACAACCUAACGCGAAUAACAGUACAUGAUAACAGUAUUAUGUCAAAUCACAUCAGUUGAAAUAAUCUCUGUAGCGAAUUUGUUGUUCCGAUCAUUUUGUUGUUCUUAUUCUUGUCCAUAAAUAUAUCAUUCCUUUUGAUCAUAAUCCCAAUUACAACUCUAUCUUUGAUCCUAUUGAUGGCAAAACAUUAGGAUGUAACACAGGAUCUGUGCAACAAAAUACAUUCUAAUUUUUUAAUCAUAUCUGCUAUAACAUAGAUUAGCUUACACUGCACAUUGCGCAACAACUUGCAUUCAUCCUGAUGAAUUGCGCAGUUGAAGACAUAUCUGGGCAAUUUUAAUUCUAUAUUUAGAUUUGUUUUGAUCUAUAUAUCUCAGCCUUGAUAAGUAUAUCUCGAACUCAUUAAUAAUUCAUGAGCAAAUUAGCGAAUGAACUCACCCUAAUUCGUCACAUGAUUGAGGUUGGAUACCGCAAGGAAACACGCUAAAAAUCA